rnacentral:rRNA from 1 species
GACGAACGCUGGCGGCGUGCUUAACACAUGCAAGUCGAACGGUAAGGCCCUUCGGGGUACACGAGUGGCGAACGGGUGAGUAACACGUGGGUGAUCUGCCCUGCACUUCGGGAUAAGCCUGGGAAACUGGGGCUAAUACCGGAUAGGACCCUGGGAUGCAUGUCCUGGGGUGGAAAGCUUUUGCGGUGUGGGAUGGGCCCGCGGCCUAUCAGCUUGUUGGUGGGGUGAUGGCCUACCAAGGCGACGACGGGUAGCCGGCCUGAGAGGGUGACCGGCCACACUGGGACUGAGAUACGGCCCAGACUCCCACGGGAGGCAGCAGUGGGGAAUAUUGCACAAUGGGCGCAAGCCUGAUGCAGCGACGCCGCGUGAGGGAUGACGGCCUUCGGGUUGUAAACCUCUUUCAGCACCGACGAAGCGCAAGUGACGGUAGGUGCAGAAGAAGGACCGGCCAACUACGUGCCAGCCGCCGCGGUAA